rnacentral:lncRNA from 1 species
CUCGUGGCCACCCAAAGCUCUGUUAUCUUAAACCUGGAGGGGCGCAAAACAAAAUUGAGUGGGUCAGCAAAACAAUGCUUAUAAGAAAACCUUUAUCUUUGAAUAUAUUAACCCCUCGCCGUAAAACAAGUAUAGUUUCCUCAAAACAUACUACGUAAGUAUGAAAUCCAAUAUAUAUCAACCAUAUAACCAGAAUUAUGCCAAGUCAAUGAUGUAUCAUAUGCCACAAUAAUAAUCAAGUGAUAAGCAAUAUAACUAAGUGCUCAUCCAUCUAAGCUGACACACAAGUUCGGACAGAUGGUUUCUGGCACGAACAGGACUGGGUGUAAUCAAUAUGCUCUAGUACUACGAUCACGUGAAGACUGGUGCAAAAGCACAUCACAUACAAGUCGGAUCGCCUAAUGCAAUCUACCCGACAAGACUGGCACCUAAACUUGGAUCCAAGGUGAGCAAACGGUGCGGAUGUGAACAUACACGUGAAGGACUGGCCCUGGCCCUGGGGCGAGUACUAACACCGGGUGCAGCAAGAUGAGCAUGUACACAAGUAUGUAUGAAUGCCAUGACAGUAAUAUCACAACCAUAUAGCAGCAUUUGUCACAAUUUAUAUCACAAUAAUGAUACUAGGCAAUGUAGGCGUAAAAAUGAAGUAAAUACACAUUUAUGGAAACUAUAAAUAUAUAUAGGUAUAAAACAACUGCCCACUCACAAGUACGUCGUUGGGUCGUAGCCCCCGAGCCUAGCUUGGCCUCGAAAAUCCUCGGAAUAAGUUUCCCCUAUAUGUGAAAUAACUAAAUAUCAUUAAUUAACGUACAUAACGGAAACCUACAUAAAACCCCCAUAGUUUGCUCAAACCUAGGGUAUAAAUAUAUGAAAUCGAUCUACUCGACGACACGAACGCGUACGUACCAACCACGCGCCAGUCAGAGGCCGGACGUGCCCCCACGCGCCCCCGCGAGUACACUGUACUUGCCUUCUUCGCGAAAAUCUGCAGUUUUGCAGAUUUUUGGGUCAACUUCCAGAGCCUAUAACGAGCUCGAUUCUCAACCAAAUUCACUUCUACAAAAGCCAAAUUAAAGCUAGGAAUGUGAUCUACCGAUAAUUUACAAAAAGUUCAAAUCUAGUCCUUGUUGUUCGGAAAUUUGGCCUGAAAGUGGCCAAACGACCACGGUUACAAAAUUUCCAGAAACUGAAAUUUUCUUCCUAACUUCCAGAGUUGAUUUCUAACUCGUUACUUAACCAAACUCAGUGAUUCAAAAGCCAUUUUGAAGUUAGGAAUGUAGAGAACAAGUUUGUACCUAGAAGAAGUUCAGUUGUGGUCGAGGUUGACCAGAAAAAUGGUUUGAAAGUGACUAAAAGGCCACGGUUCUUGAACGAAAAACUUCGGGUUCUCCUUCUUCCUCGGCUCGCCGGACUGUUUUCGCCGGUUUCUGGGCAGUUUUUCAAAUUGCCAUAACUUUGUCAUUUCUUCACCAUUUUCAACGUACUUUAUAUAAAAAUGAAGAUAUUGACGAGACGAACACAUCUAUACCUGUCUCGACUCUUAACUCGCUGGGAAUUCACCGGAAAAAGCCUCGAAAGCCGUCGGACUCGC